AAAAAAAGAUGUGAAAAUCAUCAAUGGAUUUACAAU
rnacentral:sRNA from 1 species